AGGUAGUGUUCCAUCAUGUGGAGGUAUAACAUUUGAUCCAUUCACCUGUUGAAGGGCAUUUGGAUUGUUUCACACAAAUGGGUAGACGUGCUUUGGUUCUCCCUGAUAUGUGGACAUUUACAAAGUAAUUUUGGGUAGUGGUCUACUUUUAAAAAGCUUCCAGAGAAUGGCCAUGGGUGAUGUUCCUGUCUUCACUAAGCACCUAAUGAACUCUCUAGGUCCUUGAGUCUACUCCUGGAUUAACGCGAGAUCCAGAAACUGUGGACCCAGCAACAGUAAGUGUCGAGGCCUGAGCCUCUUUCUAUCAUACUGCUACACAGCCAACCCAUUACAAAUGUA